rnacentral:rRNA from 1 species
CGUGUAGGCGGUUGGUCAAGUCGGGUGUGAAAGCCCGGGGCUCAGCCUCGGAAGUGCAUCCGAAACUAGCCAGCUAGAGCGCGAUAGAGGAGGGUGGAAUUCCUGGUGUAGCGGUGAAAUGCGUAGAUAUCAGGAGGAACACCGGCGACGAAGGCGGCCCUCUGGGUCGUUGCUGACGCUGAGACGCGAAAGCGUGGGGAGCAAACAGGAUUAGAUACCCUGGUAGUCCACGCUAUAAACGAUGGGUACUAGGUGUUCGGGGUGUUGACCCCCUGAGUGCCGCAGCUAACGCAUUAAGUACCCCGCCUGGGGACUACGGCCGCAAGGUUAAA